UUUCUUCUUACCUCAUGUGCUUUUCCAGAAGCUAUUUGAUGAUCCAAAGGAUGAUGACUUGCUAUUUGUGUUUUGGUUGUAAUUCUACAGAGUAAAUGACCUAAGGGUACAAACUUAAACUCAACAUCCAUACUUUGUGGUUACAUUGUGAGCAGGUGCCCUGCAUUCUGAAGUUACCACGGAGUUUUCUGCUUUUGCUGCUCCUGCAGAUGCAACCUUUUCAAUGCCGGUGGAUGUUAAGAGAAAUUCUACCGUCGUUUUUGGUCGAAUAAAAGGUCUUGUUCUUGUUCUAUAUAAUCUUGCAAGAAUGUAUCAGGCGGAACAGAAAGCAAAUUUGUGGAUCUGUCUCCAACACAUACAAGUAAUUUUUCAUCCCGACGACGUUCA